rnacentral:rRNA from 1 species
AACGCACCUUGCGCUCCUUGGUAUUCCGAGGAGCAUGCCUGUUUGAGUGUCAUUAAAUUCUCAACCUUACCAACUUUGUUGUCUGGUAAAGGCUUGGAUGUGGGGGUUUUGCUGGCUUCGUCAAGAGGUCGGCUCUCCUUAAAUGUAUUAGCUGGUGCCCCGUGUGGAGCGUCCAUUGGUGUGAUAAUUAUCUACGCUUUGUACUGUCUGUGGAAUAUCUAUGAGUCUAGCUUCUAACUGUCCUCUGGACAAUCUUUCAAUCUUUGACCUCAAAUCAGGUAGGACUACCCGCUGAACUUAA